CGCGUGUUUCUUCGACCCAAACGAUCGAAUGAAAUAAAAAGCAGUAAAAGAUAGGAGGGAAACUAGUUUAGACGGACAGGUUUAUUCGUUCAAAGUGUUCAUCGAGGAAGGAACUUGGCAAGUUGAAAUGUUAACAGGUUCUAUAGGAUGACUUCUUUUCUUGGAAGAGAAAAAUCUCGUUAUGUUGGAAGCAAAUGUUACCACGAUGAAAUACAUGGCCGUACAAGAGAACGUUAACGAACAAAAUGGCUCGCUUUUAGCGGGGUAAAUUGGCAGAUAUAGGGAUGUAAAACCAAAGCCCCUCAAGGCCCGAAACAACAAAGGAGGAAUCACUAAAGGAAGUAAUAGAGUAAAUUCUACGUAAUAAUUAUACUCUAUUAAAUUAGCAGAGAAUGUUACAUCAAAUUGUAUAAAAAUAUAUUUUUUGAUGUUAUCAGUUUUAAAUAGAGUAGACGACAUUGCUUUAUUGUAAAAAAUAUCUUUAUUACAAAAAAAUACCAACCACGAAGAUAUAUUCUCAUCAAGCAGCUAGAGAACAAAGUAAUUAAGCGAAACAAGAGAUCAGAAUACUAAGCUAAAGGCAAAGAGGUAGCCACUUCCAAAAACUUAAUAUUCCUAAAGAAGACUUUAAUCUUGACACGAAUAUAACAUUUUAAUCAGAAAAAUGACUGUAAAUUAAGAUUUGUAAUUUUUAGUAAUGUCUGUUAGCCAUCAUGGAUACGUCAAAAUCGAAUAGACUUGCGGGCAACUCGUUCGAGGAUUUCAUUAGUUUUAAAAGCAAGCGUCAACUGCAAUCUGACUAUUGAAGGUUAUCAUUUAAUAGGGAAAUAAAAUUUUCCCUAACGCUGAAUGGAAGAGUUUCAAAGUACCUUUGGGUCGUUAAAGAAUCGCGAUUCGUCCGUAUUCUUAUUAUUCCGAAUUAAUGACGGCGCUUCGGAUGGCCAUUGACCUACAACGCACCUCUUUAUCCCCAGCUGUAUAUCCAAGAGGCCUUAACAGGCAUGGAAAUUACAACAAGAAACAACUACAGAAUUCCUGCAUCACUGUUCGAUGGACAUUACGGAAUAUAAUCAAUCGAAAUUGCUCGACGGUCGAUAGUCACUCCUUACAAAGGAGUAGUUUCAGAGGUGUGAUCAAAGAGAGAGGAGGUAGUUAACGCAUGCAUUAAUAUUAAUCGAGAGGUUGACACAAGCAGUCUGCCGUGACCUCUCGAGCAAUUUCCGGCGUGGGGGUGAGAAAUAGGAAGGGACGAGGUCGCUAAAGAUUUGAAAAGCCACCCCCAGAAAACCCACGCAUAUUCCUAAGGUCAGAUAGAAUGCACGUAUUAACCGUUUCUGGAACGUUGAUUUCUCCAGGCAUUUGAGAAUUUGGCGAAUUUCCAUGGAAAGGCGAGGAGGAAGCAUGAUUUUGAAUAGGGGAUUAAUAUCCGAAGGCAUCGAAGAAACUGGAAUCUACAAGAUUUUUAUUGAAACUCGAGGAAAAGUUUAAUUUUGUAUGCGUUAGGAAUAAUUCGGAAAAUCGAAUAUAUAUUGUAAAAGGGAGGGCAAGCAGAAUGUUAGAAAAUCGCCAUUUUUCACAUCGCCUGGAAUUGAAAAAUUCAUGCACAACCUUAAGAGUGUGUCUCCCCAAGGAAGAAGAAACGUUCUUACCGUUUCCCUGAGAAACGAUGGAUAAGUUGUUAAAAAUUAAAUUCAAAUAUGCGAAUAUGACAGUAAUCGUACUUACCUAAGCGUUAUAUUUCAUCUUGUUCAUUUUCAGAUAUUGAACGAUUUUCAAAAAGAUGAACGAGGAGAGUCAGUUGAUAAAUCGACUAAAGUUAUCGAUGAUAAAAUGACUAAAGUUUUGAAUCGACCAAAACCCAAGUACAUUCUUGCGAACACAUGUGGAUGCAAAGUCGUUGUUCACGUUGUUGGUUGCUGUUCGCGUGUAACAACGAUAUUACGGUAUUUUGGAUUCGCAAUUUGCAAUUGAUUUAGUUGUCAAUUUUCCCAUUCUAACUACUUUCAAGACGGUUUAGUAUCUUAAACAAAAGGACAAAAUAUAACGCUUAGGUGAGCUCCAUCACUAUCAUAUCCACGUGUUUCGAUUCAUUUUUCACAACUUUCUCAUCGUUUCUUCAGAAAGCGACAUCUUUUGUUCCUUGGGAGACAGCUUUGAAGAUACUGCAUGAAUUUCUCAACCACAGUUGGCCAUUUUUUAACAUUUUUCUUUAAUGGAAACGUUUCAUUGAGAAACACGAAGAUAGAAAAACCUGAAAAUGAUAAAAUGCGGGCGUUGUCAAUUCUCUUCUUUUCAACGAGAUGAAUAUUCCAAUAUUUACCCGUUUCAACACCUCCGACGUCCUUUGAAUAAACGUUUCGCGAAUCCUUCGGGAUGAAGAAACUCCGGUGCACCCAUGGGAUAUUUAAUAUCAUGAAUAUUUUUUUUUUUUUCGCUCCGUGCAAAAAUGCUACUCUGCAUGCCACAUACUUGAGCAGCCAUGCGUGUAAAAUAAUCGAAUGAAAUUUUUCUAAAGUUUGCUCUUGAAAAUUGCAGGAAAUUUGAGUGGAAGAAUAGUUGUCGAGUGGUUUGAAGAGAAUGAAGUGGUUUAAGCGUGACUCAUUUCUAUGAGGAAAUACAUUAUAUUAAAGGAGUUAUUUUCUGUGAGGUGUAAUAAUAUUUAUAUAUCUAUUUGUAAAUUGAUCGUCUUAUUAGAUUAAAUAUAUUAUUUAAUUAAAAUCCUAUUGGUUAAGAGGAAUUGAUUAUAGAUAGCAUAAAAUAAAACUAAUAAAUACUAGAAAUUGUAUAAAACAAAUUAAGUAACGCAAGAUGAAGAUUGACAAAAUUCGAGAUUUUACUGGCUAAGGGGAAUUGAUUGUAAAUAACAUAAAGAAAAAUGAAAUAGUAAUUAUAUUAUAAAUCGAGAUGCGAUAAAAAAUACUAUAAAUUCUGUGCAACAGAUUAAUUAACGUCACGUAAGAUGAAUAUUUAAAGAAAUCUCUAAUUCGAUAGAUUUCUCGCCUGGCAAACGAGAGGAUUACUGAUGAUUUUCAAGAAACGACUACUUAACGAACAAUAUCCAGCUGAAACCUAAAUAAUGCAUCCCCCUUGCUAAAUCCAAUUCCAUCCGUACGGGUCACACGGUUCCCGGCUAGCGUGGAUUCCCCGCGAGCCGUGAAUCCGAAUUCCCUUUCUCCGUUUGUCCACCUGAUGCACUGUACGGUUUCACCGGUUUCGUUGAAACCCUUUCGACGCAACAAGUUUGCCAUUGUUCCGUGAACCACGAGUGAAAAGCUACCGGAAAUGGACCAGCAACUUUGCUUCCUUUCAAACACCUCGCGCUUUCCCACACUUUUUCUUUUGUUCCUCGCUGAGACGAGGUGCUGAAGCUAUUCAAUUUGACGACAGAAUCGCGUAGAUUUCUCGAUAUUUAACACUAACUUCACCGGAUCAUAUGGCCGGUUUCAAAAUUUGAUUGAAAAUUGUACGUGCAUUGUUAUAUCUCUAACUUUGUUAUCGUUAUAUCUCAAUAAUUAAAGAGUCUUAAACAAUAUUCCAUAAAAUGAUCGAACAUUAUAUGCAACUUUAACGGCAGGCGGAAUGUUAGUAAAAUAGACAAUAUAAUAGCGUUCUAUAUGUCAUUCAGAAAAUUCCACGAAAUUAAUUGUUCGAAGCAUGUGUAGAUUUCUUUUUAUAUAAAAAUUUGCAAAAUGCGUAGCGAAUAUCAGCGAGCAAAUAAAGUUGUAGUUUGUCUUCAUAUUGUAUUACAUAUAGUUGAUCGCAUACUACGAUAGAUUUACUUUGUAAAUAAAAAUAAUUGAAUACAAAUUCGUAGUUGCUGUCUGUAUCAUGAAUCGUUGUAUCUUCACUUUAUAAGUUACAAUAAAACAAAUUAAAAGUA